CAUAGGUUAAUGAGGCGAACCGGGGGAACUGAAACAUCUAAGUACCCCGAGGAAAAGAAAUCAACCGAGAUUCCCCCAGUAGCGGCGAGCGAACGGGGAGGAGCCCAGAGCCUGAAUCAGUGUGUGUGUUAGUGGAAGCGUCUGGAAAGGCGCGCGAUACAGGGUGACAGCCCCGUACACAAAAAUGCACAUAUUGUGAGCUCGAUGAGUAGGGCGGGACACGUGGUAUCCUGUCUGAAUAUGGGGGGACCAUCCUCCAAGGCUAAAUACUCCUGACUGACCGAUAGUGAACCAGUACCGUGAGGGAAAGGCGAAAAGAACCCCGGCGAGGGGAGUGAAAAAGAACCUGAAACCGUGUACGUACAAGCAGUGGGAGCCUCUUAAUGGGGUGACUGCGUACCUUUUGUAUAAUGGGUCAGCGACUUAUAUUCUGUAGCAAGGUUAACCGAAUAGGGGAGCCGAAGGGAAACCGAGUCUUAACUGGGCGUUAAGUUGCAGGGUAUAGACCCGAAACCCGGUGAUCUAGCCAUGGGCAGGUUGAAGGUUGGGUAACACUAACUGGAGGACCGAACCGACUAAUGUUGAAAAAUUAGCGGAUGACUUGUGGCUGGGGGUGAAAGGCCAAUCAAACCGGGAGAUAGCUGGUUCUCCCCGAAAGCUAUUUAGGUAGCGCCUCGUGAAUUCAUCUCCGGGGGUAGAGCACUGUUUCGGCAAGGGGGUCAUCCCGACUUACCAACCCGAUGCAAACUGCGAAUACCGGAGAAUGUUAUCACGGGAGACACACGGCGGGUGCUAACGUCCGUCGUGAAGAGGGAAACAACCCAGACCGCCAGCUAAGGUCCCAAAGUCAUGGUUAAGUGGGAAACGAUGUGGGAAGGCCCAGACAGCCAGGAUGUUGGCUUAGAAGCAGCCAUCAUUUAAAGAAAGCGUAAUAGCUCACUGGUCGAGUCGGCCUGCGCGGAAGAUGUAACGGGGCUAAACCAUGCACCGAAGCUGCGGCAGCGACACUAUGUGUUGUUGGGUAGGGGAGCGUUCUGUAAGCCUGUGAAGGUGUACUGUGAGGUAUGCUGGAGGUAUCAGAAGUGCGAAUGCUGACAUAAGUAACGAUAAAGCGGGUGAAAAGCCCGCUCGCCGGAAGACCAAGGGUUCCUGUCCAACGUUAAUCGGGGCAGGGUGAGUCGACCCCUAAGGCGAGGCCGAAAGGCGUAGUCGAUGGGAAACAGGUUAAUAUUCCUGUACUUGGUGUUACUGCGAAGGGGGGACGGAGAAGGCUAUGUUGGCCGGGCGACGGUUGUCCCGGUUUAAGCGUGUAGGCUGGUUUUCCAGGCAAAUCCGGAAAAUCAAGGCUGAGGCGUGAUGACGAGGCACUACGGUGCUGAAGCGACAAAUGCCCUGCUUCCAGGAAAAGCCUCUAAGCAUCAGGUAACAUCAAAUCGUACCCCAAACCGACACAGGUGGUCAGGUAGAGAAUACCAAGGCGCUUGAGAGAACUCGGGUGAAGGAACUAGGCAAAAUGGUGCCGUAACUUCGGGAGAAGGCACGCUGAUAUGUAGGUGAAGCGACUUGCUCGUGGAGCUGAAAUCAGUCGAAGAUACCAGCUGGCUGCAACUGUUUAUUAAAAACACAGCACUGUGCAAACACGAAAGUGGACGUAUACGGUGUGACGCCUGCCCGGUGCCGGAAGGUUAAUUGAUGGGGUUAGCGGUAACGCGAAGCUCUUGAUCGAAGCCCCGGUAAACGGCGGCCGUAACUAUAACGGUCCUAAGGUAGCGAAAUUCCUUGUCGGGUAAGUUCCGACCUGCACGAAUGGCGUAAUGAUGGCCAGGCUGUCUCCACCCGAGACUCAGUGAAAUUGAACUCGCUGUGAAGAUGCAGUGUACCCGCGGCAAGACGGAAAGACCCCGUGAACCUUUACUAUAGCUUGACACUGAACAUUGAGCCUUGAUGUGUAGGAUAGGUGGGAGGCUUUGAAGUGUGGACGCCAGUCUGCAUGGAGCCGACCUUGAAAUACCACCCUUUAAUGUUUGAUGUUCUAACGUGGGCCCCUUACCGGGGUUGCGGACAGUGUCUGGUGGGUAGUUUGACUGGGGCGGUCUCCUCCUAAAGAGUAACGGAGGAGCACGAAGGUUGGCUAAUCCUGGUCGGACAUCAGGAGGUUAGUGCAAUGGCAUAAGCCAGCUUGACUGCGAGCGUGACGGCGCGAGCAGGUGCGAAAGCAGGUCAUAGUGAUCCGGUGGUUCUGAAUGGAAGGGCCAUCGCUCAACGGAUAAAAGGUACUCCGGGGAUAACAGGCUGAUACCGCCCAAGAGUUCAUAUCGACGGCGGUGUUUGGCACCUCGAUGUCGGCUCAUCACAUCCUGGGGCUGAAGUAGGUCCCAAGGGUAUGGCUGUUCGCCAUUUAAAGUGGUACGCGAGCUGGGUUUAGAACGUCGUGAGACAGUUCGGUCCCUAUCUGCCGUGGGCGCUGGAGAACUGAGGGGGGCUGCUCCUAGUACGAGAGGACCGGAGUGGACGCAUCACUGGUGUUCGGGUUGUCAUGCCAAUGGCACUGCCCGGUAGCUAAAUGCGGAAGAGAUAAGUGCUGAAAGCAUCUAAGCACGAAACUUGCCCCGAGAUGAGUUCUCCCUGACUCCUUGAGAGUCCUGAAGGAACGUUGAAGACGACGACGUUGAUAGGCCGGGUGUGUAAGCGCAGCGAUGCGUUGAGCUAACCGGUACUAAUGAACCGUGAGGCUUAACCUUACAACGCCGAAG
rnacentral:rRNA from 2 species